rnacentral:tRNA from 1 species
GAAGGUAUAGCUCAGUGGUAGAGUGCCUGCCUAACAUGUGCAAAGUCCUGGGUUCAAUCCCCAGUACCUCCA